AGGAUCAUUCGCAAUGGGCGCAAGCCUGACGAUGCGACGCUGCGUGGAGGAUGAAGGGCUUCGGCUCGUAAACUCCUGUCAUGGGGGAAAAAUGUCCCCGGGGCGAACACCCCCGGGGCCGGAUGGUACUCCAAGAGGAAGCCACGGCUAACUCUGUGCCAGCAGCCGCGGUAAUACAGAGGUGGCGAGCGUUGUUCGGAUUUACUGGGCGUAAAGGGCGCGCGGGCGGCUCCGUGUGUCGACUGUGAAAUCUCCGGGCUCAACCCGGAAAGUGCGGUCGAAACUGCGGGGCUGGAGCAAGGGAGAGGAAAGCGGAACUCAGGGUGUAGCGGUGAAAUGCGUUGAUAUCCUGAAGAACACCGGUGGCGAAGGCGGCUUUCUGGAACUUGGCUGACGCUUAGGCGCGAAAGUAGGGGGAGCAAACA
rnacentral:rRNA from 1 species